GGACUACACGGGUAUCUAAUCCUGUUUGCUCCCCACGCUUUCGCGCCUCAGCGUCAGUAUUGGUCCAGAAAGUCGCCUUCGCCACUGGUGUUCCUUCCGGUAUCUACGCAUUUCACCGCUACACCGGAAAUUCCACUUUCCUCUACCAUACUCUAGUCUUACAGUAUCAAAUGCAAUUCCCAGGUUAAGCCCGGGUCUUUCACAUCUGACUUAUAAAACCGCCUACGCGCUCUUUACGCCCAGUAAUUCCGAUUAACGCUCGCACCCUCUGUAUUACCGCGGCUGCUGGCAC
rnacentral:rRNA from 1 species